rnacentral:lncRNA from 1 species
CUGAAGCUCUACGAAUUUUAGAACUUAUGAAAAAAUGUGCAGGCGGAGCACAUAUAUCAGUAAUAGUUAUAUCGAGAGGGUUUACUUCAACCCCUACAUUUUUCAAUCAGUAAUACUUAUAUCAGUACCUCGUUAUUCAUCAAUACUAGUACGACUCGACAAGAAGUGCAAAAUUGUAGCAGCACACAGAUUGAACUUACACAAUUUUUCUUUUGAAACAUAUUUUAGGUGAUAUAUCUAGUUUUGAAACAUGAACUGAUGAUAUUUUUUUGCACGCACUAUGCUAUCUAAAAAUUGGACGAACAGAAACUAGAAAUUGGACUGAAGUAAACCUAGAAAAUUGAGCAACAGUGCUUGCUAAAUCAUGGGAGCUCCUAGGCAUUUGAUCAAAUACAACCAACGCCUAGCACUGUCAGCACCACAUCUGCAGCUGCAGUAACGCCACCAACUGAACGGGCUCUGGUGGUGUUGUUGAACGGCCUAGGUGGCCAGGUUUGAACGAAACCUGCAAGAUGAACCCAAGGGGAGCUCCUUCACCUGCAAGAUGAACAGAAAAUGCACACUAAGGCGACCUGAAGAACCACCAGAUGUUGAACUGAAUAUACGCAAGAUAAGGAGGUGAACGUCAAGGGGGAGGUGGGGAAAAGCUAGCAC